UACGGAGGGUGCGAGCGUUGUCCGGAAUCACUGGGCGUAAAGGGCGCGUAGGCGGCCUGAUAAGUAGGGGGUGAAAUCCUGCGGCUUAACCGCAGGGCUGCCUUCUAAACUGUCAGGCUCGAGCACAGUAGAGGCAGGUGGAAUUCCCGGUGUAGUGGUGGAAUGCGUAGAGAUCGGGAAGAACAUCAGUGGCGAAGGCGGCCUGCUGGGCUGUGGCUGACGCUGAGGCGCGACAGCGUGGGGAGCAAACAGG
rnacentral:rRNA from 1 species